ACGAACGCUGGCGGCGUGCUUAACACCUGCAAGUCGAACGGAAAGGCCCUGCUUUUGUGGGGUGCUCGAGUGGCGAACGGGUGAGUAACACGUGAGUAACCUGCCCUUGACUUUGGGAUAACUUCAGGAAACUGGGGCUAAUACCGGAUAGGAGCUCCUGCUGCAUGGUGGGGGUUGGAAAGUUUCGGCGGUUGGGGAUGGACUCGCGGCUUAUCAGCUUGUUGGUGGGGUAGUGGCUUACCAAGGCUUUGACGGGUAGCCGGCCUGAGAGGGUGACCGGCCACAUUGGGACUGAGAGACGGCCCAGACUCAUACGGGAGGCAGAAGUGGGGAAUAUUGCACAAUGGGCGGAAGCCUGAUGCAGCAACGCCGCGUGCGGGAUGACGGCCUUCGGGUGGUAAACCGCUUUCGCCUGUGACGAAGCGUGAGUGACGGUAAUGGGUAAAGAAGCACCGGCUAACUACGU
rnacentral:rRNA from 1 species